ACAGCAGUCGCCGCGGGAAAACGUAGGGCGCAAGCGUUGUCCGGAAUUAUUGGGCGUAAAGAGCUCGUAGGCGGUCUGUCGCGUCUGGUGUGAAAUCCCGAGGCUCAACCUCGGGCUUGCAUCGGGUACGGGCAGACUAGAGUGCGGUAGGGGAGACUGGAAUUCCUGGUGUAGCGGUGGAAUGCGCAGAUAUCAGGAGGAACACCGAUGGCGAAGGCAGGUCUCUGGGCCGCAACUGACGCUGAGGAGCGAAAGCAUGGGGAGCGAACAGGAUUAGAUACCCCCGUAGUCCCUGUCUCUUAUAC
rnacentral:rRNA from 1 species